rnacentral:rRNA from 1 species
UACGUAGGGGGGCAAGCGUUGUCCGGAUUUAUUGGGCGUAAAGAGCGUGUAGGCGGCUAGGUAGGUCCGUUGUGAAAACUCGAGGCUCAACCUCGAGACGUCGAUGGAAACCAUCUAGCUAGAGUCCGGAAGAGGAGAGUGGAAUUCCUGGUGUAGCGGUGAAAUGCGCAGAGUAUCAGGAAGAACACCCGUGGCUAAGGCGGUUCUCUAGUACGGUACUGACGCUGAGACGCGAAAGCGUGGGGAGCAACAGG